UACGUAGGGUGCGAGCGUUAAUCGGAGUUACUGGGCGUAAAGUGUGCGCAGGCGGCGUUGCAAGUCGAGUGUGAAAUCCCUCAGCUUAACUGGGGAACUGCGUGUGAUACUGGAUGGCUUGGAUUUGGGAGAGGGAUGCGGAAUUCCAGGUGUAGCGGUGAAAUGCGUAGAUAUCUGGAGGAACACCGGUGGCGAAGGCGGCAUCCUGGACCAAUAUUGACGCUGAGGAGCGAAAGCCAGGGGAGCAAACGGG
rnacentral:rRNA from 1 species